GACGAACGCUGGCGGCGUGCUUAACACAUGCAAGUCGAACGGAAAGGCCCUGCUUGCAGGGUACUCGAGUGGCGAACGGGUGAGUAACACGUGGGUGAUCUGCCCUGCACUUCGGGAUAAGCUUGGGAAACUGGGUCUAAUACCGGAAAGGAGCCAUCUUUAGUGUGGUGGUUGGAAAGUUUUUUCGGUGUAGGAUGAGCUCGCGGCCUAUCAGCUUGUUGGUGGGGUAAUGGCCUACCAAGGCGGCGACGGGUAGCCGGCCUGAGAGGGUGUACGGCCACAUUGGGACUGAGAUACGGCCCAGACUCCUACGGGAGGCAGCAGUGGGAAAUAUUGCACAAUGGGCGCAAGCCUGAUGCAGCGACGCCGCGUGGGGGAUGAAGGCCUUCGGGUUGUAAACUCCUUUCGCUAGGGACGAAGCUUUGUUGUGACGGUACCUAGAUAAGAAGCACCGGCUAACUACGUG
rnacentral:rRNA from 1 species